rnacentral:rRNA from 1 species
CCUACGGGUGGCUGCAGUAGGGAAUCUUCCGCAAUGGACGAAAGUCUGACGGAGCAACGCCGCGUGGGCGAAGAAGGUCUUCGGAUCGUAAAGCUCUGUUGUUAGGGAAGAACAAGUACGGGAGGAAAUGACCGUACCUUGACGGUACCUAACGAGGAAGCCACGGCUAACUACGUGCCAGCAGCCGCGGUAAUACGUAGGUGGCAAGCGUUGUCCGAAAUUAUUGGGCGUAAAGCGCGCGCAGGCGGUCUUUUAAGUCUGAUGUGAAAUCUUGCGGCUCAACCGCAAGCGGUCAUUGGAAACUGGGAGACUUGAGUGCAGAAGAGGAAAGCGGAAUUCCACGUGUAGCGGUGAAAUGCGUAGAGAUCGGGAAGAACACCAGUGGCGAAGGCGGCCUGCUGGGCUUUAACUGACGCUGAGGCACGAAAGCGUGGGUAGCAAACAGGAUUAGAUACCCCGGUAGUC